GGCACUGGGGGCAUGUCUUUGGAGGGUGGAUCUCUCACGGACACUGUUCCCCUCCUCCACUUCCCAGCCACUAUGAACUGAGCUGCUUUGCUCCACCACAUCCUUCCACCAUGAUGCUCCUGCUUUGAAGCCAGCUGACUACAACCACAAGUGGAAAUAAAGCUCUCCUCCUCUAAGUUGUGGUGUCAGGCAUUGUGCCCCAGCAGCAGGAAAGCUGACCAAUGCACCAACCCUCAUUAUAGCCCACCAGGAGAAGGGGGGUGGCUGAUGUCUCAGAGCCAGCCUUGCACAGCUGCCACCUUCCUAGCACAUGAUCUUGGAGUUGACGUCUGCCUAGCACAGAGGAAAAUUGUUUCUGCCACAUCUUCCGAUAAGAAUGAUUUUCUUCAUGCUCCGUUUGUCUACAACUGUCUUUCCAAUCAUUCCUGCUGUUAGCACAUGGUCUACAUGCUUGAAAUUCAGCCAGAGGAACUGGGUUAAAUUUAUGAUCCACUGACUCCUGGAGCCCUGAGCUAUCCGAUUUGAAUAUCAAUGUGGGAAUGAGGUCAUCAGAAGCAGCAGGUGGCAAGGCGACCAGUCUGCAGUGUGGUCAUGCCUGUGAUCCAUACUUUAAUCUGCUACCAAUUAAGAACAUCGAUCAGACAACCAACGUUAAUUAAUAGAACACAGAAAUUUUCCGGCCUUUUAUUUUGAGAUUAUAAUUUUUGAUGGACUUUCAAAUCCCUUGGUAUCACUAUUAAUGUCAGCAUUCUGCCAAUAAUGCCCUGCUCCUGCAGAACAAUUCAUUAGUGCUAAAACCAAUUUACUGGAAUGGGCUGAAAAUCACCUCGGUUUUCUCUGUUAAUGUAUUACAAGAUGAAAUGUUUU
rnacentral:lncRNA from 1 species